AGUAGAAUGGCUGAGUGAUAGGUGAAAGAUUGUAAAUCUUUUAAGGAGUUAAGACUCUUCUACUA
rnacentral:tRNA from 3 species